UCACCAUAGCCAAUCCCAGCUUUCAAAGGGCUUUGUCACAGCAGUAAUCCCUCCCUGAAUUGGAUUCUGACUCCCCGCCUCCUCCUUUAAAUUCCCAUAAACUUUGUGACAUGCUGGGAAAAGUUGCCAGAAAACCACUAGAUCAACUCCAGGAAGAGAUUUUCCUGAACAGUUGUGACACAGGCCUUCUACAACUGGCAAUCCACCUCAAAAGAAAGCCUAUUCUAGAAGUGAGGAAGGAUUUGAACCAAAACCUGGAAACAAAGAGCUGAAACAGAUUUCCACACUGAAUCACACAAUUUAUGAAGUUGCUGCAGUUACACAAGCACGGAAAGCACAGAUACCGAACUGAAGAUCCCAGACCAGUCUACAGCUCUUCAACGCUUCACGAUUCAAAAACCCUUCUAUUCCAGGUGAAGUCAUCUAUUGCUGCCUAACAGUGUGUGAAAGUAAAAGAACAGAAUGGAUUUGUCAGCAAACCGAGGCCUCAAUCUCUUGCUCAACUUCCUCCUAAUUGUCCUAGUGCUGAUCCUGAUGCUAAUUUUGGUGAAGCUCAUGUGACAGGACCAUGACAAAUGUAACUAAAGUAAUCUCAGAGGUAAUGCAGAUGAUUUGAAGACAGGAACUGUUUAAAGUGUGCCCGUGAGGAAUAUACUGUACUACAGGUCAAGGAGAACAUACAGAAUGGCUCCAUUGCCAAAGAUAAAAAAAGAAAGCUCUGUUUGUGUUUUUUUUUUUGAUGGAGUAUAACAAC